rnacentral:rRNA from 1 species
UUUGCUGACGGGCGGCGGACGGGUGAGUAAUGCUUGGGAACAUGCCUUGAGGUGGGGGACAACAGUUGGAAACGACUGCUAAUACCGCAUAAUGUCUACGGACCAAAGGGGGCUUCGGCUCUCGCCUUUAGAUUGGCCCAAGUGGGAUUAGCUAGUUGGUGAGGUAAUGGCUCACCAAGGCGACGAUCCCUAGCUGGUUUGAGAGGAUGAUCAGCCACACUGGGACUGAGACACGGCCCAGACUCCUACGGGAGGCAGCAGUGGGGAAUAUUGCACAAUGGGCGCAAGCCUGAUGCAGCCAUGCCGCGUGUGUGAAGAAGGCCUUCGGGUUGUAAAGCACUUUCAGUCAGGAGGAAAGCGUGGUGGUUAAUACCCAUCAUGUGUGACGUUACUGACAGAAGAAGCACCGGCUAACUCCGUGCCAGCAGCCGCGGUAAUACGGAGGGUGCGAGCGUUAAUCGGAAUUACUGGGCGUAAAGCGUACGCAGGCGGUUUGUUAAGCGAGAUGUGAAAGCCCCGGGCUCAACCUGGGAACUGCAUUUCGAACUGGCAAACUAGAGUGUGAUAGAGGGUGGUAGAAUUUCAGGUGUAGCGGUGAAAUGCGUAGAGAUCUGAAGGAAUACCGAUGGCGAAGGCAGCCACCUGGGUCAACACUGACGCUCAUGUACGAAAGCGUGGGGAGCAAACGGGAUUAGAUACCCCGGUAGUCCACGCCGUAAACGAUGUCUACUAGAAGCUCGGAGCCUCGGUUCUGUUUUUCAAAGCUAACGCAUUAAGUAGACCGCCUGGGGAGUACGGCCGCAAGGUUAAAACUCAAAUGAAUUGACGGGGGCCCGCACAAGCGGUGGAGCAUGUGGUUUAAUUCGAUGCAACGCGAAGAACCUUACCUACACUUGACAUACAGAGAACUUACUAGAGAUAGUUUGGUGC